AUUGAACGCUGGCGGCAGGCCUAACACAUGCAAGUCGAGCGAGCGGCGGACGGGUGAGUAAUGUCUGGGAACCUGCCUGAUGGCGGGGGAUAACUACUGGAAAAGGUAGCUAAUACCGCAUACCAUCAGAUGUGCCCAGAUGGGAUUAGCUGGUCGGUGGGGUAACGGCCCACCUAGGCGACGAUCCCUAGCUGGUCUGAGAGGAUGACAGGCCACACUGGAACUGAGACACGGCCCAGACUCCUACGGGAGGCAGCAGUGGGGAAUAUUGCACAAUGGGCGCAAGCCUGAUGCAGCAAUGCCGCGUGUGUGAAGAAGGCCUUCGGGUUGUAAAGCACUUUCAGCGGGGAGGCGUUACCCGCAGAAGAAGCACCGGCUAACUCCGUGCCAGCAGCCGCGGUAAUAC
rnacentral:rRNA from 1 species